NNCGAUAAUGGCAAACCAUGGGAAACCGUGGGACGCAAAGCUAUAGGGCCUGUAAAAUGGCAGCCAGCUACCGAAA
rfam:Lutispora thermophila DSM 19022 genome assembly, contig: EJ66DRAFT_scaffold00001.1